rnacentral:rRNA from 1 species
GGGACUGCGCGAGUCUGAUGCAGCCAUGCCGCGUGUGUGAAGAAGGCCUUCGGGUUGUAAAGCACUUUCAGUCAGGAGGAAAGGGUGUGAGUUAAUACCUCACAUCUGUGACGUUACUGACAGAAGAAGCACCGGCUAACUCCGUGCCAGCAGCCGCGGUAAUACGGAGGGUGCGAGCGUUAAUCGGAAUUACUGGGCGUAAAGCGUACGCAGGCGGUUUGUUAAGCGAGAUGUGAAAGCCCCGGGCUCAACCUGGGAACUGCAUUUCGAACUGGCAAACUAGAGUGUGAUAGAGGGUGGUAGAAUUUCAGGUGUAGCGGUGAAAUGCGUAGAGAUCUGAAGGAAUACCGAUGGCGAAGGCAGCCACCUGGGUCAACACUGACGCUCAUGUACGAAAGCGUGGGGAGCAAAAGGGAUUAGAUACCCCCGGUAGUCA